rnacentral:rRNA from 1 species
GCGCUGCUAUACAUGCAUGUCGAGCGGACAGAUGGGAGCUUGCUCCCUGAUGUUAGCGAGCGGACGGGUGAGUAACACGUGGGUAACCUGCCUGUAAGACUGGGAUAACUCCGGGAAACCGGGGCUAAUACCGGAUGCUUGUUUGAACCGCAUGGUUCAAACAUAAAAGGUGGCUUCGGCUACCACUUACAGAUGGACCCGCGGCGCAUUAGCUAGUUGGUGAGGUAAUGGCUCACCAAGGCAACGAUGCGUAGCCGACCUGAGAGGGUGAUCGGCCACACUGGGACUGAGACACGGCCCAGACUCCUACGGGAGGCAGCAGUAGGGAAUCUUCCGCAAUGGACGAAAGUCUGACGGAGCAACGCCGCGUGAGUGAUGAAGGUUUUCGGAUCGUAAAGCUCUGUUGUUAGGGAAGAACAAGUACCGUUCGAAUAGGGCGGUACCUUGACGGUACCUAACCAGAAAGCCACGGCUAACUACGUGCCAGCAGCCGCGGUAAUACGUAGGUGGCAAGCGUUGUCCGGAAUUAUUGGGCGUAAAGGGCUCGCAGGCGGUUCCUUAAGUCUGAUGUGAAAGCCCCCGGCUCAACCGGGGAGGGUCAUUGGAAACUGGGGAACUUGAGUGCAGAAGAGGAGAGUGGAAUUCCACGUGUAGCGGUGAAAUGCGUAGAGAUGUGGAGGAACACCAGUGGCGAAGGCGACUCUCUGGUCUGUAACUGACGCUGAGGAGCGAAAGCGUGGGGAGCGAACAGGAUUAGAUACCCUGGUAGUCCACGCCGUAAACGAUGAGUGCUAAGUGUUAGGUGGGUUUCCGCCCCUUAGUGCUGCAGCUAACGCAUUAAGCACUCCGCCUGGGGAGUACGGUCGCAAGACUGAAACUCAAAGGAAUUGACGGGGGCCCGCACAAGCGGUGGAGCAUGUGGUUUAAUUUCGAAGCAACGCGAAGAACCUUUACCAAGUCUUGACAUCCUCUGACAAUCCUAAAGAUAGAACGUCCCCUUUCGGGGGCAGAGUGACAGGUGGUGCAUGGUUGUCGUCAGCUCGUGUCGUGAGAUGUUGGGUUAAGUCCCGCAACGAGCGCAACCCUUGAUCUUAGUUGCCAGCAUUCAGUUGGGCACUCUAAGGUGACUGCCGGUGACAAACCGGAGGAAGGUGGCGGAUGACGUCAAAUCAUCAUGCCCCUUAUGACCUGGGC